UACGAAGGGGGCUAGCGUUGCUCGGAAUCACUGGGCGUAAAGCGCGCGUAGGCGGUUUUGCAAGCCAGAGGUGAAAUGCCUGAGCUCAACUUAGGAAUUGCCUUUGGGACUGCGAGGCUUUGAGGACUGGAGAGGUGAGUGGAAUUCCCAGUGUAGAGGUGAAAUUCGUAGAUAUUGGGAAGAACACCGGUGGCGAAGGCGGCUCACUGGCCAGUUUCUGACGCUGCAGCGCGAAAGCGUGGGGAUCAAACAGG
rnacentral:rRNA from 1 species